ensembl:lncRNA
AAAGAACUGUAUUUGAAACUACAACAACUGAAAAGUAAACUGAAAAGACUGAAAUCCACUAAGGAUAAACCUGGCCUCAAACCUCUCAACUCCCCAAAGCGCCAGAAAUUUGAAAGACAUAAACCUGACCCAACAGCCCGGCUUCCUAAAUUUGAGAAAGUCCUGAAUGCUUGGUUUCAGCACAUUUGUGGGACAAGUAAAAAGGACGUCGAAAAUGCCAAACAACGGGUCUAUCAUGUCCGUACCUGGGCAUAUUUCAUGUCUCACAAUCAAGUCCCUGCAAUGACGUUUGCAUUUAUGGACAACAGAGAAAGACUGACUGAAUGGACAACUUAUCUGAAUAAAUAUGCUGUAACAACCAAAAGGAUUUGGAUUGGAAAUGUGAGGGCGUUCUUGCAAUUUCUGAUUGAUG